UCAGUCAGUACUCCUCCCUUGCUGGGGGAAAACAAAGGGGAAUAAACACUUUGGAGACCAAACUUGUUGAUCCUGGGCUAGCCCUUUGUCCAAUAAUUCCAUCCUGAGAAAUUUACUGGAAGGAAGGGAACAACUAUCCAUGCAGAGAAACAUGAAGCAGCACGACAGUGGCAGAACUCUGCAAUCUGAUGAAUGCCACCAAAAGGAGCCCAGAUGAGGUGUGAUCUAUUCACCCAAUAGGAUAGUCUUCAGCAGGGAAAACAAGUAAAGGAUGGCUGUGGGCAUCAGUUGUCGAUGAUACUCAAAACCAUUGUUAAACAGAAAGGGCGAGUCACAGCAGAAUGUCUUUAUGUCAACAACAGAUAUUUAAGGAGAAACACAUCAGAGGGAAAUUUAACAUCUGAAUUGGGAUGUGCUGGAAGUGUGUGAGUGUGGAAAAAGAAGUCCUUUCAUGUGUCCUACUCAGUUACAGGAAAAUCAUAAAUACUUUGCCACACAUCACUGCUGCAUAUCACCGACGUGGGAUUCCUCUGCCUGUGUUUAUCUAUGUAUUGUGUUGCUCCUGGAGGAUUGCCCGGAAUUAACUCUUCAAUAACGAGACAGGACCUUUCAGCCUCUGCUUCAGGAUUGAAAUCCGGUGAACAUCUUCAACUCUUCUCUGGAUCUGAGAGUUCACAUAAGAGAAAACAGAGUUUAUAUUCCAGGCAUACAAACUAUGGAACACCAAGUCCAUUCCCUACCCUGCUCAUCCAGCAAGGGAAAUAGGUGAGCACUGCAGUCCCUCUACUGCUAUCUUCACUCUGGGAGAAGCUGGUCCCUUGUUGAGGACCCAGGGCGAGGCACAUGAGGUGAGGAGCUGAGGCAUCCAGCCAAAACCUGGAAUGGAAAGGCGGCUUGUCGACAACCAUGAGCAAGGAGACCGAUCCUCUUGCAGCCCUGACCCACCACUGACAACAACUGCAUGAGAGACCCUGAGCCAGAACCUCAGAGAAGCAUUGGUCUCACAUCCUAGACCUGAGAAUAAGGACCAGACAUGCUGUCUGCUCUGCCUGCCAUCACUAGGCACGGUGCAAAGUGCUUGACAGAUAUCUAAUGUAUUUCUGCUAAUAGUCAUGCUGAGGACACUAUUGUCUCCAUUUUCUUAAAGUAAAUAUAUUUAUUUAUUUUUUAGUCA